AUGAACGCUGGCGGCGUGCCUAACACAUGCAAGUCGAGCGGCAGCGAGGGGUGCUUGCACCCUGUCGGCGAGCGGCGGACGGCUGAGUAGCGCGUGGGAACGUGCCCCAAAGUGAGGAAUAACUGCCCGAAAGGGUAGCUAAUACCGCAUAUUAUCUUCGGAUCAAAGGAUUUAUCCGCUUUGGGAGCGGCUCGCGUCGGAUUAGGUAGUUGGUGAGGUAAUGGCUCACCAAGCCGACGAUCCGUAGCUGGUCUGAGAGGAUGACCAGCCAGACUGGAACUGAGACACGGUCCAGACUCCUACGGGAAGCAGCAGUGAGGAAUCUUCCACAAUGGGCGAAAGCCUGAUGGAGCAACGCCGCGUGCAGGACGAAGGCCUUCGGGUUGUAAACUGCUUUUAUAAGUGAGGAAUAUGACGGUAACUUAUGAAUAAGGAUCGGCUAACUACGUG
rnacentral:rRNA from 1 species